rnacentral:rRNA from 1 species
UGCGUAGGCGGCUUUUCAGGUGGGUGUGAAAGCCCACGGCUCAACCGUGGAAUUGCGCUCCAAACCGGGAGGCUUGAGGGAGACAGGGGUGAGCGGAACUGAUGGUGGAGCGGUGAAAUGCGUUGAUAUCAUCAGGAACACCAGUGGCGAAGGCGGCUCACUGGGUCUCUUCUGACGCUGAGGCACGAAAGCUAGGGGAGCGAACG